GACGAACGCUGGCGGCGUGCUUAACACAUGCAAGUCGAACGAAGAGCGAUGGAAGCUUUCUUCUAUCAAUCUUAGUGGCGAACGGGUGAGUAACGCGUAAUCAACCUGCCCUUCAGAGGGGGACAACAGUUGGAAACGACUGCUAAUACCGCAUACGAUCCAAUCUCGGCAUCGGGACUGGAUGAAAGGUGGCCUCUAUUUAUAAGCUAUCACUGAAGGAGGGGAUUGCGUCUGAUUAGCUAGUUGGAGGGGUAACGGCCCACCAAGGCGAUGAUCAGUAGCCGGUCUGAGAGGAUGAACGGCCACAUUGGGACUGAGACACGGCCCAGACUCCUACGGGAGGCAGCAGUGGGGAAUCUUCCGCAAUGGACGAAAGUCUGACGGAGCAACGCCGCGUGAGUGAUGACGGCCUUCGGGUUGUAAAGCUCUGUUAAUCGGGACGAAUGGUUCUUGUGCGAAUAGUGCGAGGAUUUGACGGUACCGGAAUAGAAAGCCACGGCUAACUACGUG
rnacentral:rRNA from 1 species